AUGGACAUCAUUACCCUAAGUACAUGUAUGAAGACACAAAUGGUGUGAAUAUACUUUGUGUACAACCAGAGAUAGGAAAAAUUGUGCUCUAUAUGUGUAAUAUGAAUCGUAAUGCAUUCUGCUGUCAUAUAUAAUAAAUUAGAAUAAAAAUAAGUAAAUAAAUAAUAAAUAAAUAGAGCCACUCAGGAUAAAUAUUUGUUGGGUAUUAUUUAGUAGUUUUUGCCUCUGAAGAAAUUUUUCAUUUUUUUUUAUAUUAUCCAAUUUAUGGAUAUGAAGUAGUAUUUCAUUCUCCCCGUAUUUUUAUUGGUGCAUUUUAAUUAUGCAUAUUGGUGGGAUUUGUGGUUACAUAUUCAUACAUGCACACAAUAUAACAAUACAAUCUGAUCAAUAUCAUACCCCAGUAUUUCCCCUUCCCUCCCUCCUCCUACCUCUUGGUUCCUUUCCGCUAUACUACUGAUCUCCCUUGGAUUUUCAUGAAAUCUGCCCCCACCUUUCUUUUCUUUUUUCCUCUCUAUCUUCUACCUAUGAGAGAAAACAUAUGACCUUUGACUUUCAGAGUUUGGCUUAUUUCACUUAAUAUAUGAUCUCAAGUUUCAUCCAUUUUUCCACAAAUGACAUAAUUUUUUUCUUCUUUAUGACCAAAUAAAACUCCAUUAUGUAUAACUACCACUUCUUGAUCCAUUAUCCAUUGAUGGACACCCAGACUGGUUCCAUAAUUUAGCUAUUGUGAAUUGUGCUGCUAUAAACAUGGGUGUGCAUGUAUCACUGUAGUAUGCUGACUUGAAUUCUUUAGGGUAAAUAUUAAGGAGUGGUAUAACUGGGUUGUAUGGUGGUUCCAUUCUUAGUUCCAAUCAAAUCUUGGCUGAUUUCCGUAGUGUUUGUAAUAAUUUACUAACCCAUCGGCAGCGUAAAAGGGUUCCUUUUUCUCCCCAUCCUCUCCGGUAUUUAUUAUCAUUUGUAUUCUUGAUGGUUGCCAUUCUAACUGGAAUGAGAUAAAAUCUCAGUAUGGUUUUGCUUUGCAUUUCCCUAAACACUAAAGAUGUUGAACAUAUUUUUCUGUAUAUUUAUUGUCCAUUUACAUUUCUUCUCUUGAGAAGUGUCUGUUUAUUUCAUUUGUCCAUUUAUUAAUUGGGUUAUUUGUGGUUUUUUUAUUUGGUUUUUGGUGUUAAGUUUUUUGAGUUCUUUAUAUUUUCUAGAUAUUAAUCCUCUGUCACAAAAGUAGCAAAGAUUCUCUCCUAUUCUGUAGGUUCUCUCUUCACAUUCUUUGUUUUAAAUCUCUUUUUUUGUUAGAGCUUAAUUGUUCUCUUCACAUUCUUUUGCUGUACAAAAGCUUUUUAAUUUGAUGCCAUCCCACUUAUUAACUCUUGCCUGCUCCUAUAUGUUGAAGUGUUGAUCCUAUGUUUUCUUCAAUAAGUUGUAGAGUUUCUGGCCUAAUUCCCAGGUCUUUGAGCCAUUUUGAGUUGACUUUUGUGUUGAGCAGGAGAUAAAGGUCUAGUCUCAUUCUUUUACCUCUGCUUAACCAGUUUUCC
rnacentral:lncRNA from 1 species